rnacentral:misc_RNA from 1 species
GGAUCCAACUCCACCCCCACAUUUUGCUAAAUAAAUGCCUUAACAAGGUGUUUCAUGACUUUUUUUCCCCUAAUUAGCUAUUAUCUAAAGUUUAAUAAAUAAGAUGGAGGAAACUCUUGUACAUUCUGUUCAUAAAAACAAAGAAGAAUGUUUUUAUUUUUUUUGUUUUGAAAAUAUAGAGGCAAGGAAGAAUGUUGAGUGUGAGACACGUCCUUUGAUAAUUACAAUAUUUAAUCCUAUCCAUGUGGAUCAUUGGGUUAUGAAGAGAACAAGCAAGAAAAAUAUUUUAUCACCUCAAAUGGAAGAGAGAGAGAAAAGAAAAUUCCAUUCAAAUUCUUGGUUGUUGCAUAUGCCUCCCUUUCCUUACUUCAUGGCAUGGCAUGAAGUGCAAGAAAACUAUAUAUAUUUUAUAUAUAUAAAACUAAGCAUCCAAAUCAUCGCAUAAGGGUUGACCUAACCCAAAUUUAUAACCAAAACUAGAUUAUAUAAAACAAAAUGGAAUGUUGAUUGUGUCAU